rnacentral:rRNA from 1 species
GGGGAAUAUUGGACAAUGGGCGAAAGCCUGAUCCAGCAAUGCCGCGUGAGUGAUGAAGGCCUUAGGGUUGUAAAGCUCUUUUACCCGGGAUGAUAAUGACAGUACCGGGAGAAUAAGCCCCGGCUAACUCCGUGACAGCAGCCGCGGUAAUACGGAGGGGGCUAGCGUUGUUCGGAAUUACUGGGCGUAAAGCGCACGUAGGCGGCUUUGUAAGUUAGAGGUGAAAGCCCAGAGCUCAACUCUGGAACUGCCUUUAAGACUGCAUCGCUUGAAUCAUGGAGAGGUUAGUGGAAUUCCGAGUGUAGAGGUGAAAUUCGUAGAUAUGCGGAGGAACACCGAUGGCGAAGGCAAUCCCCUGGACCUGUACUGACGCUCAUGCACGAAAGCGUGGGGAGCAAA